rfam:Bosea sp. PAMC 26642, complete genome.
UAACAACUGAAAGGAGGUGAUCCAGUGUCUCAUUGUCAUCAACCGCUGGCUCGAAGCGGUCGGACCUGGACUCAUUCCCAGUGGGGGUCUUGUUCCGCGUGAGUUUUCGCGCCUUUGGGUCCGGUUCGCCGGACCGCGGUACGACAAUGGAAGGGCUGCCCGAAAGGGCGGCCCU